rnacentral:lncRNA from 1 species
GAAGUCCCUAAAGAUCUGAGUCCUUGUGGGAGGAAGCUGCUUGAGCAGUGCCAGCCCAGCUGCUGGGGGCUGUUCUGGCAGGAGCUGAGCCUGGAGCCCAGCCUGGCACAGCCAGGAGGAGAUGCUGCCAGGCUGGGGAUGCUGCCACGCCUGGGCACCAUCCCAGGGUGCCGCUGCCCAGUGCCCUGAGCACAGCUGCUGGAGGCCACCUCCUGCAUGGAUGAAAGCCCUGAAAUUCCCUUUGUGGGAAUUACAGACCAGACCUUCAGGGCCGAGUGUGUGUCUGCAGAUUUGCACUAAGGCUGCGGGAGAACAAGAGGGAAAACAUGUUUACAGGGAAGGAGAGGUUCCGCAGGGUGUUUUCUGCUCCUUCUGCCAUCGCUGUUGCUGGGGAAACCAGCGCGGGGCCCUCUGUCUCUGCCUGUCUGUCUGUCUGUCUCUCCAAAAGAUGCAGACAGAGAUGAGGGAGCAGGUUGUUCCCUGCCAUCCCCUUCUCAUCUCCUCUCCUCAGUUCCUGCCAGACCCAGCUGAGCACACGAGCUGGUGCAGGAGAAGACGUUUCCAGGUCCCAGCAGUGUCUGUGCCAGGGUCUGUCCCCGGCUGCCAGGGUGGCAGGGGACAGCUGGAGGGUGGCCCUGGUGUGGCACCCACAGCUCCUCCCUGAGCUGCUUUCCAGGGCACAAAGCCCGGACUUGCCAAGCCCUGCCUGCCAAAGCCUCAAUCCCAGGGCAUGUCCAGGUGUGGGAAGGGGCUCAGCAGGAUGGAGGCCACGUCCAGCUGCU